AUGUCUCUCUUAUGCUUUCGAAAGCAACGGUUCCCACUGAUCCACGUCGUUGCAUGAUAGUGGUUCCUAUAAUCACAUGCGUUGCCGUGGACUGUCUUACUUUAUUUCUUAAUAUAUAGAGUCUAUAUCAAUCCUAUUAUUUCUUUUUUAUAUUCAGCCAAGAGUAAACCCAAGAUGCCAUUAACGAUGAUGAAGCCUUUUUACAUGAAAGUGUUGAAGAUCACGAUUCUCCACCACUACAUCAUCAACAAAGCAUGAGAGCUUUUACGUCUCAAGA